CAGUAGCCACGGGAAUACGGAGGGGGCUAGCGUUGUUCGGAAUUACUGGGCGUAAAGCGCACGUAGGCGGCUUGGUAAGUUAGAGGUGAAAGCCCGGAGCUCAACUCCGGAAUUGCCUUUAAGACUGCCGAGCUAGUAGGUGAGAGAGGUAAGUGGAAUUCCGGGUGUAGAGGUGAAAUUCGUAGAUAUUCGGAAGAACACCAGUGGCGAAGGCGGCUUACUGGCUCAUUCUAGACGCUGAGGUGCGAAAGCGUGGGGAGCAAACAGGAUUAGAUACCCGCGUAGUCCCUGUCUCUUAUAC
rnacentral:rRNA from 1 species